UCCCGUGUGGUCUAGUGGCUAGGAUACGCGGCUCUCACCCCCGCGAGGCCCGGGUUCGAUUCCCGGCAGGGGAA